GCUGAACCAGCAACUUGGAGGAAUGUAUAUUGACUAUGUCAAAUAAAAUUCUGAUAGAAUAAUGAUAAUGACAAUUUUCUAUUUAUAUGUCUUGACCAAAUCACGUGCCAGCAGUCGCGGUAAUACGUGGAAGACUAGUGUUAUUCAUCUUUAAUAGGUUUAAAGGGUACCUAGACGGUAUUUUUAGCCCAAAUAGGGAACUGAUUUACUAGAGUUUAUAUAUGAGAAGGAAAGUAUUUAUAGUGUAGAGAUGGAAUUCUUUGAUACUUUAAGGACUGGUAAGGGCGAAAGCAGCCUUCUAUGUAAAAACUGACGUUGAGGGACGAAGGCCUGGGGAGCAAUAAGGAUUAGAUACCCUAGUAGUCCAGGCAGAAAAUUAUGAAUGUCACAUACUAGAUUAUUUUGGUGUGUAAAUAAAAGUGUAAGCAUUCCACCUCAAGAGUAAUGUGGCAACACAGGAACUGAAAUCAUUAGACCGUUUCUGAAACCAGUAGUGAAGUAUGUUAUUUAAUUCGAUGAUCCUCGAAAAACCUUACCACAAUUUGUAUAGUUACAAGCGCUGCACGGCUGUCUUCAGUUAAUGUCGUGAGAUUAUGGUUACUCCUAAAAAUUAACGUAAACCCUUACUUUAUUUAACUAUUUUAAUAAAGUACUUGACCGCUAUAUUGGAUAUGAUAAAAGGGA
rnacentral:rRNA from 1 species